AUUGAACGCUGGCGGCAGGCCUAACACAUGCAAGUCGAGCGGAGCGGGAGAGGGGUGAGUGUUACCUAUGAAUGUGCAUGUUAGUGAGGGAGAACGUCCAGAAACGGGCGCUAGUACCAAAUACUAUUAGAUGAGGCUGGGUUGGAUUGGGUUGUGGGUGGGGUAACGGCUUACCAAGGCGACGAUCCGUAACUGGUCUGAGAGGAUGAUCAGUACCACUGGAACUGAGACACGGUCCAGACUCCUACGGGAGGCAGCAGUGGGGAAUAUUGGACAAUGGGCGCAAGCCUGAUCCAGCCAUGCCGCGUGUGUGAAGAAGGUCUUCGGAUUGUAAAGUACUUUAAGUUGGGAGGCGUUACCAGCAGAAUAAGCACCGGCUAACUCCGUGCCAGCCGCCGCGGUAAUUC
rnacentral:rRNA from 1 species